rfam:Otolemur garnettii contig184104, whole genome shotgun sequence.
CCAAAGGCUCUUUUCAGAGCCACCCAUACCUUCAAGAAAAGAGCC